GUCUCUGUAGUGCAAUUGGCUAGCGCGUUUGGCUGUUAACCAAAAGGUUGGUGGUUCGAGUCCCCCUAGGGACA